rnacentral:rRNA from 1 species
CCUACGGGGGGCAGCAGUAGGGAAUCUUCCACAAUGGACGAAAGCCUGAUGGAGCAACGCCGCGUGGGUGAAGAAGGUCUUCGGAGCGUAAAACCGUGUUGUUAGAGAGGAAAGUGCGUGAGAGUAACUGUUCACGUUUCGACGGUAUCUAACCGGAAAGCCACGGCUAACUACGUGCCAGCAGCCGCGGUAAUACGUAGGUGGCAAGCGUUAUCCGGAUUUAUUGGGUGUAAAGGGAACGCAGGCGGUCUGUUAAGUCUGAUGUGAAAGCCUUCGGCUUAACCGGAGUAGUGCAUUGGAUACUGGGCGACUUGAGAGCAGAAGAGGAGAGUGGAAUGCAAGGUGUAGCGGUGAAAUGCGUAGAGAUAUUGAAGAACACCAGUGGCGAAGGCGGCUUUCUGGUCUGUAUCUGACGCUGAGGUUCGAAAGCGUGGGUAGCAAACAGGAUUAGAUACCCCAGUAGUC